rnacentral:rRNA from 1 species
CAUUACAACAGCCAUUGUUUACUUGAUCUUGAUAUCCUACUUGGAUAACUGUGGUAAUUCUAGAGCUAAUACACGCAGCAAAGCUCAGACCUUACGGGACGAGCGCAUUUAUUAGAACAAAACCAAUCGGGCUUCGGCUCGCCGUUGGUGACUCUGAAUAACUCAGCUGAUCGCAUGGUCUUGCACCGGCGACUCAUCUUUCAAGUGUCUGCCUUAUCAACUGUCGAUGGUAGAUUAUGUGUCUACCAUGGUUGUAACGGGUAACGGAGAAUAAGGGUUCGACUCCGGAGAGGGAGCCUGAGAAACGGCUACCACAUCCAAGGAAGGCAGCAGGCGCGUAAAUUACCCAAUCUCAGCACGAGGAGGUAGUGACGAAAAAUAACGAGACCGUUCUCUAUGAGGCCGGUUAUCGGAAUGGGUACAAUUUAAACCCUUUAACGAGGAUCUAUGAGAGGGCAAGUCUGGUGCCAGCAGCCGCGGUAAUUCCAGCUCUCAAGGUGUAUAUCGUCAUUGCUGCGGUUAAAAAGCUCGUAGUUGGAUCCAAAGCCCAGGACCUGGUCCACCUACCGGGUGAGAACUGGGCUCCGGGGCUAAUACUGCUGGUUUUCCCAAUGUGGCCUUCAACAGUUGCAUUGGGUGGCUGGCGAGUUUACUUUGAAAAAAUUAGAGUGCUCAAAACAGGCGUCUCGCCUGCAUACUGGUGCAUGGAAUAAUGGAAAAGGACUUCGGUUCUAUUUUGUUGGUUUUCUGAACCGAGAUAAUGGUUAAGAGGGACAGACGGGGGCAUUCGUAUCGCUGCGUGAGAGGUGAAAUUCUUGGACCGCAGCGAGACGCUCUACUGCGAAAGCAUUUGC